AAAAAAAUAAUAAAAAAUAGAAGGCCUAGGUCUAGGCUGGUAGUGAGCAUCAUUAUGUGGUAGUGAGCCAGUAUAUUUGGACAGCGGCCUAAAAAGAAUAAUAUUUUAUACUUCAUGUCUCGAACAUAUAUUGAUACUUCGAUCACAUGUUAACAUUUACAUGUUUUGCGACGGCAAAUUCAGUUUCGCAAUAUAUUUAGAGUUCUUUGAGGGGGAGUGCUAUUUAGUG